rnacentral:rRNA from 1 species
AACGAACGCUGGCGGCAUGCCUAACACAUGCAAGUCGAACGAGAUCUUCGGGUCUAGUGGCGCACGGGUGCGUAACGCGUGGGAAUCUGCCCUUUGGUUCGGAAUAACAGUUGGAGACGACUGCUAAUACCGGAUGAUGACGAAAGUCCAAAGAUUUAUCGCCAGAGGAUGAGCCCGCGUAGGAUUAGCUAGUUGGUGUGGUAAAGGCGCACCAAGGCGACGAUCCUUAGCUGGUCUGAGAGGAUGAUCAGCCACACUGGGACUGAGACACGGCCCAGACUCCUACGGGAGGCAGCAGUGGGGAAUAUUGGACAAUGGGCGAAAGCCUGAUCCAGCAAUGCCGCGUGAGUGAUGAAGGCCUUAGGGUUGUAAAGCUCUUUUACCCGGGAUGAUAAUGACAGUACCGGGAGAAUAAGCUCCGGCUAACUCCGUGCCAGCCGCCGCGGUAACAC